AUUGAACGCUGGCGGCAGGCCUAACACAUGCAAGUCGAGCGAGCGGCGGACGGGUGAGUAAUGUAUGGGGACUGCCCGAUAGAGGGGGAUAACUACUGGAAACGGUAGCUAAUACCGCAUACUAUCGGAUAACCCAUAUGGGAUUAGCUAGUAGGUGGGGUAAUGGUUCACCUAGGCGACGAUCCCUAGCGGGUCUGAGAGUAUGAUCAGCCAACCUGGUAAUGAGACACGGCCCAGACUCCUACGGAGGCAGCAGGGGGGAAUAUUGCACAAGGUGCGCAAGCCUGAUGCAGCCAUGCCGCGUGUAUGAAGAAGGCCUUCGGGUUGUAAAGUACUUUCAUUCGGGAGGCGUUACCGACAGAAGAAGCACCGGCUAACUCCGUGCCAGCAGCCGCGGUAAUUC
rnacentral:rRNA from 1 species